GGCAGUGUUGACCAGUGGUUUGAGUGUCGGCCUACGACUCUGGAGACCAGGGUUCGAUUCCCAGCUCAGCCA